UACGAAGGGUGCUAGCGUUGUUCGGAAUUACUGGGCGUAAAGGGCGCGCAGGCGGCCCUUGAAGUCAGGCGUGAAAGCCCCGGGCUCAACCUGGGAGGUGCGCUUGAUACUCGAGGGCUUGAGUGCGGGAGAGGAGAGUGGAAUUCCCAGUGUAGAGGUGAAAUUCGUAGAUAUUGGGAAGAACACCGGUGGCGAAGGCGGCUCUCUGGACCGUAACUGACGCUGAGGCGCGAAAGCGUGGGGAGCAAACAGG
rnacentral:rRNA from 1 species